GUCGGCGGAGGACCAGACUGGAAUUUUGCAGCUGCCAUCACCGAGGAGCUUGGGGUCAGCGGUGUAUAGUCCGGCGGAAGAUGACCGCAAGGAGGCCACUAGUGCUCAGCAGGUGCUUGCCUGGCUGAAACUGCUGUCGGAGGUGGCAGAACUGCAAGGCCAGGCGGUGUCUUGCUUGGUGGGGGUUUCCAGGGGAGAGCUGGUCUGCCAGCGGUCGGUUUCCAGCGGAGGAUGCUAGCGAAGGCUAGUGGAGGAACCUGUUGCUUUGACCGGCCUUGGAUGGUUGAAUGGCUAGCGGAGCUCCGGGACAGUCGUGGAGCAUGGGCAGUGGCACAGUCGCGCUGAAGAGCUGGUGGAAGGGCUCGCUGGCGGCCUGAUGCAACGAAGAAGGAGGGUGGCCUAAGCAGAUCUCUGGGUGUC
rnacentral:lncRNA from 1 species